UACGUAGGGAGCAAGCGUUGUCCGGAAUCAUUGGGCGUAAAGCGCGCGUAGGCGGCCCGAUAAGUCCGCUGUGAAAGUCAACGGCUCAACUGUUGGAUGCCGGUGGAUACUGUCGGGCUAGAGUACGGAAGAGGCAAGUGGAAUUCCUGGUGUAGCGGUGGAAUGCGCAGAUAUCAGGAGGAACACCUAUAGCGAAGGCAGCUUGCUGGGACGUUACUGGCGCUAAGGCGCGAAAGCGUGGGGAGCGAACAGG
rnacentral:rRNA from 1 species